GCCCUUAGAGUUUGAUCAUGGCUCAGAUUGAACGCUGGCGGAAUGCUUUACACAUGCAAGUCGAACGGCAGCACGGGAGCUUGCUCCUGGUGGCGAGUGGCGAACGGGUGAGUAAUGCGUCGGAACGUACCGAGUAAUGGGGGAUAACGCAGCGAAAGCUGUGCUAAUACCGCAUACGCCCUGAGGGGGAAAGCAGGGGAUCGCAAGACCUUGCGUUAUUCGAGCGGCCGACGUCUGAUUAGCUAGUUGGUGGGGUAAAGGCCUACCAAGGCGACGAUCAGUAGCGGGUCUGAGAGGAUGAUCCGCCACACUGGAACUGAGACACGGUCCAGACUCCUACGGGAGGCAGCAGUGGGGAAUUUUGGACAAUGGGGGGAACCCUGAUCCAGCCAUUCCGCGUGAGUGAAGAAGGCCUUCGGGUUGUA
rnacentral:rRNA from 1 species